rnacentral:rRNA from 1 species
UGCGCAGGCGGAACUUUAAGUCAGUGGUGAAAUCUUGCCGCUUAACGGUAAAAUUGCCAUUGAUACUGAAGUUCUUGAAUAUGGUUGAGGUAGGCGGAAUGUGUUGUGUAGCGGUGAAAUGCAUAGAUAUGACACAGAACGCCGAUUGCGAAGGCAGCUUACUGAGCCAUUAUUGACGCUGAGGCACGAAAGCGUGGGGAGCGAACAGGAUUAGAUACCCUGGUAGUCC